ensembl:lncRNA
ACAUGGCGCUUGGGGGCGGGGCCUCCAGCGCGCUCUCUCUUCCUCCUUAACGGCCCGUCAGGAAGAUGGCUUGGUAGCCGGGGAUGCAGAAACUGCCUCCCCUGCAGCAGCAUAGGCUUUGUCCGCCUGGUGGGCCGUGAAUCUGCACGGCUUGGAAGGCAGGCUGCGGUCCGAACCCAACGCAGAGGAAGACGGGCACAGGUGCGCGGCAACAGUCUCCUCGACGGGGGGCAUGCGCACAUACCCGUGGGCUUCCGCCCCGUCCACGUGUGCAAACAUAGCCUGCGUGGCAGAGUGGGUGCGCGCCGAUUGGGGUGCAGCCCACGACUUCACCACGUGCUCGUGCACGUCUGGGAAGAACGGGGUUCUUCUCCUCGGUGCGGCCUGGCGGCGGCUCGACUGGAGGAACCACGAGUCCAGCUUACUUUUCACAGGCUCGUCAGGUGCGUUCCAAGCGAGGUCCAGCUCCGUGACGGCCUUGCUGAGGACCCUGACGAGCUCCUCCUGGAGGUCUGCAGGGCCCUCUUGGUCGGGGCGGUCCGACUGAGACCCCCAAUCCUUUUCCGACGCCGAGAGCGACAUGGAGUCGUCUUCCUCGCCAGCUUCUUCGAAGGCGACGAAGUUCGCGACGGUGUUGGGGGGGCGGAAGCUAACUUCCGCGAAGUUGACGUCGUCGAACUCGACCUCGGGCGGGGGAGGGCCCACCAGCGGCUCGCUGGCGGCAGUGGGCCUCAUCCCUGCUGUUGCCCGAGCCACUUCUCUCCUGGCUCUGAGGGCGCGCACUGGCAGCUCGGCGCAGUGGGCGCACGUGUCGUCCGUGAGUGCCGCCUCCGCGUGGGCGAGGCCCAGGCAGGUGACACAGAACUGGUGAAGGUCGGGCGGGUCAAUGGGACCCGCGCAAAUCUGGCAUGUAGCAGCCAUCGGAUGCGGAGAGGAAAAAACGGGUGAGUAGUCCUCUAAUGCAACUUCUACGAUGACUUAGAAAAGACUUCUAGCGUGAAGAAAGAGAUUCUGACGUAAUUUUCGCGCCCAUGCAUUUUAUACUGCCGGUGACGUGUCAGUAUUUGCAUGCUUCGCGUCAAUUGGCCAGCUGUCCCCAGCUGGCGUUAGCCCAUAAGAUUUCAGCGAAAGUGGAGAAGGGAGGGGUUCCCAUAUACGUCUUAGCUGACGUAAUGUUGAGUUACCGCCUUGAUAGGGAACGCCUCCGGUUACUAUCGUAACCUCGGUUCCCUGAGAGGCGGGAACGAGACAUUACGUUAGCCGCCGUGGUUGCUGUUUGAUCAGCUGUGCUAGCGUUCAGUCGUGAUUCUGACGUAAUUUUCGCGCCCAUGCAUUUUAUACUGCCGGUGACGUGUCAGUAUUUGCAUGCUUCGCGUCAAUUGGCCAGCUGUCCCCAGCUGGCGUUAGCCCAUAAGAUUUCAGCGAAAGUGGAGAAGGGAGGAGUUCCCAUAUACGUCUUAGCUGACGUAAUGUUGAGUUACCGCCUUGAUAGGGAACUGUAAUUUCAAUUUCAUAAAAGUUGUAUGACAGUAUAAAAAUACUUUUAAUGUCAUAAUUAUGACAUUUUCUCACAAAAAUGGUCUUCCAAUUUUAUAUUAUGUUAAGUAAUUGAUUGUUGCCUUUUUUUUUGAGUUUCAUGACAAUUUUGAAAUAUUUUUUCAUCAAUGAAAAAUCCCAGAGCACGUUUGCCACCAUAUAUUCUCAAAAUAUAGUGGCAAACAUUUCCCUUGACUUCUCAAAACUGCAUGUCUAAUUCCAUCAGAUUUGACCUAUCUCUCUC